UACAGAGGGUGCGAGCGUUAAUCGGAAUUACUGGGCGUAAAGCGCGCGUAGGCGGUUUUGCAAGUCGGGUGUGAAAUCCCCAGGCUUAACCUGGGGAACUGCAUUCGAGACUGCAUUACUAGAGUAUGGGAGAGGGAAGUGGAAUUUCCGGUGUAGCGGUGAAAUGCGUAGAUAUCGGAAGGAACAUCAGUGGCGAAAGCGACUUCCUGGACCAAUACUGACGCUCAUGUGCGAAAGCGUGGGGAGCAAACAGG
rnacentral:rRNA from 1 species